AUACUCACUGGGCCAGGAAAAUGCCGUGAACACAAAGGUGCUUUCCCAGGGCAAAGCUCAUUCGUUGCACACUGGAUAUGUGGCUCCUGUGAUUUCCUCACGUUUGGAAACUCGACAGCAUAAUUAGCGGUCGUGAGGGACUGCAUUCACACCCUCU
ensembl:snRNA U1 U1 spliceosomal RNA